rnacentral:rRNA from 1 species
CAGGCCUAACACAUGCAAGUCGAGCGGUAGCAGGCCUUCGGGCGCUGACGAGCGGCGGACGGGUGAGGAACACGUAGGAAUCUGCCUCGUAGUGGGGGAUAGCCCAGAGAAAUUUGGAGUAAUACCGCAUAUGCCCUGAGGGGGAAAGUGGGGGACCGUAAGGCCUCACGCUAUGAGAGGAGCCUGCGUCGGAUUAGCUAGUUGGUGGGGUAAGAGCCCACCAAGGCGACGAUCCGUAGCUGGUCUGAGAGGAUGAUCAGCCACACUGGGACUGAGACACGGCCCAGACUCCUACGGGAGGCAGCAGUGGGGAAUAUUGGACAAUGGGCGAAAGCCUGAUCCAGCCAUGCCGCGUGUGUGAAGAAGGCCUUCGGGUUGUAAAGCACUUUAAGUGGGGAGGAAAAGCGGUACGUGAAUAUCGUGCUGCCGUGACGUUACCCACAGAAUAAGCACCGGCAAACUCCGUGCCAGCAGCCGCGGUAAU